AUGGGCAGAUGUCCCAGGCUAGCCAAAGAACUCCAUCCCCUGGGCCUAAUGACUGAUUCAGGUGAAGGAUCUAAAACCUGAAAAGAGGCCAAAUGAUUCCUCAAAACCACGCAAGUACGAAGUAGCAGAGCGGAUCUCAAAUCCAGCACUCCACGAAGAGGCCUUGGCUAGCUGCACAUCUCCCUACAUGGGUAUGUCAAGAUCACCAACUCUGCUUACAGCAGUUCCCAGAUGAAACUCUUCAUAAUUUCAGAUGCACCUUUAAUACCAGUGAAGGUUUACCUCCAGGCCCACAGUCUGGGUCUUUCCAGAGACACCCACAGCAAGAUGUCACCUGCUUUUUGAUGUCAUCAGAGUCAAACACAAACACCCACCACUGUGGUUUCCAUGUCUAAUUCGCAAAUGGCUUUAACUUUGAGCUGGCCCACAAUGUUGUAUUAACCCCACUCAGGUAUCAUCUUUCUCCGUGGGUGAACCCAUAGUGACCUUUCCUUCUGAUUCUUCUUUUACUCUAAGGGCAUGAUUUUGGCAAACUGUCUAUAUGUACACUGGAAACAACUUCAACUUGCUUUUAUGUUGAUUUCACUUCUCCACUUUCAAUGCAGAAAGCUAAUCAGCAAUGCCCUAGGUUACUAAGAGAGGACAAUUCUUUCUUAGCCCAUUGAAUUAUGAGCAUUUUCUUGGAAAUGCAGCAAAAUGUGUUCUGACAGAUGCCUUUGGGUCCCUUGGGUUCUUUGCUAAGACAGCUAUAGAGAGAGGGCUCAAUAAGGUGGGGCCUGUGAUGGGACAUUGUUUUUACUGCACUGGUGAUAGAACAAAAGUCAGACAGGGCACAACACACACUGAUACAACCAAUCACCCAGUCACACUGCAGCCUUAGGAAACCCAUGAGCUUGUGGCAGCAGGCAAACUUGCUUCAGAGUUCCAAGAAUCCAAAUGUUCCUGGUGUGUCUGUUGUCUUGCGAUAUAGACUGAGAUCACAGGAUUGAAGAUACGACCAGAGUCAUGCUGUUGAAAGAGACUGGCUGAGUAGUGAUGAAAAAUAAACUUGGUCAAUCUAU
rnacentral:lncRNA from 1 species